rnacentral:rRNA from 1 species
AGAGUUUGAUCCUGGCUCAGGAUGAACGCUAGCUACAGGCUUAACACAUGCAAGUCGAGGGGCAGCAUGGUCUUAGCUUGCUAAGACUGAUGGCGACCGGCGCACGGGUGAGUAACGCGUAUCCAACCUUCCCCUUAGUAGGGCAUAGCCCGUAGAAAUGCGGAUUAAUACCCUAUGUUGUAUAUUGAGGACAUCUGAUUUAUACCAAAGGUUCACCGCUAAGGGAUGGGGAUGCGUCUGAUUAGGUAGUCGGCGGGGUAACGGCCCACCGAGCCUACGAUCAGUAGGGGUUCUGAGAGGAAGGUCCCCCACAUUGGAACUGAGCCAUGAUCAAACUCU